rnacentral:rRNA from 1 species
UACGGGGGAUCCAAGCGUUAUCCGGAAUUACUGGGCGUAAAGAGUUGCGUAGGUGGCAUAGUAAGCGAGUAGUGAAAUGACGUGGCUCAACCAUGUGUCCAUUACUUGAACUGCUAAGCUAGAGCAUGAGAGAGGUAGCUGGAAUUUCUAGUGUAGGAGUGAAAUCCGUAGAUAUUAGAAGGAACACCGAUGGCGUAGGCAGGCUACUGGCUCAUUGCUGACACUAAGGCACGAAAGCGUGGGGAGCGACCGGG